rnacentral:lncRNA from 1 species
CUAGAGUAGUGACUUCCUGUAGGAAGUUGGAUUCUUCCUGUCUGGAAGAGUGGAGGAAAGGCAGGUUUGUUGGAGCUCCUCUACCUCAACCUGACUGUGGAAACCCCCCUAAAUCAUCUUUUGAGAUGCCUGGGAAAAGGAGAAUAUCUCUCACCUUUGGACCAAAUCUCUAGCCCCAAGAGGAGGAUACUUCUCUUGGCACAGGUGGCAGGGGGAUCAGGGGGAGAACUUACUUAUAUAGAUCUCCAAAAAGAGCAAAGAUCCUCCAGUAUGCCAAACAUAUAAGUUAAUUCAUAUUCAAAGAGGACAUCUAUCAGAGGCCUUAUAAAUGAAAAAGACAUGGGAAGAAUUGUCAGACAUAAAGAAGUAAAGGUAAGAAGAAAGCACUUUUUACAUAAUUAUUACGUGUUUUAUACUGUACUACAUAUUUAAAAUCAGUGUGAGUGAUCUUUCCAGGGUCACAUGACUAAUAUGUGUCUAAAAUGGAUUUGAACUUCAGAUUUCCUGAUAACAGGUUCAUUGUAUGCCAUGCACUCC